AUUGAACGCUGGCGGCAGGCCUAACACAUGCAAGUCGAGCGAGCGGCGGACGGGUGAGUAAUGUAUGGGGACUGCCCGAUAGAGGGGGAUCAAAACUGGAAACGGUAGCUAAUCCCGCAUACUAUCGGAUAACCCAUAUGGGAUUAGCUAGUUGGUGAGGGAAUGGCUCACCAAGGCGACGAACCCUAGCUGGGCUGAGAGGAUGAUCAGCCCCACUGGGACUGGGAAAAGGGCCCGAAUUCUACGGAGGCAGGAGGGGGGAAUAUUGCACCAUUGGCGCAAGCCUGAUGCAGCCAUGCCGCGGUUAUGAAGAAGGCCCUAGGGUUGUAAAGUCCUUGCAGUCGGGAGGCGUUACCGACAGCAGAAGCCCCGGCUAACUCCGUGCCAGCAGCCGCGGUAAUUC
rnacentral:rRNA from 1 species